rnacentral:rRNA from 1 species
UUCUGGCUCAGGAUGAACGCUAGCUACAGGCUUAACACAUGCAAGUCGAGGGGCAGCAUUAUCGAAGCUUGCUUUGAUAGAUGGCGACCGGCGCACGGGUGAGUAACGCGUAUCCAACCUUCCCCUUAGUAGGGCAUAGCCCGUAGAAAUGCGGAUUAAUACCCUAUGUUGUAUUAUGAGGACAUCUGAAAGAUACCAAAGGUUUACCGCUAAGGGAUGGGGAUGCGUCUGAUUAGGUUGUUGGCGGGGUAACGGCCCACCAAGCCUGCGAUCAGUAGGGGUUCUGAGAGGAAGGUCCCCCACAUUGGAACUGAGACACGGUCCAAACUCCUACGGGAGGCAGCAGUGAGGAAUAUUGGUCAAUGGGCGAGAGCCUGAACCAGCCAAGUAGCCGUGCAGGAUGACGGCCCUAUGGGUUGUAAACUGCUUUUAUGCGGGGAUAAAGUGAGGGACGUGUCCCUUUUUGUAGGUACCGCAUGAAUAAGGACCGGCUAAUUCCGUGCCAGCCGCGGC